rnacentral:lncRNA from 1 species
CGGCAAACAAGACUCAGAAUUUAGGUGCUCCAUGUCCUCAAUUUCAUCCUUGUCUUCCCACAUAUCCCAAUUCCAGUUUCCAGGAUACUAUUCUUACAGGAUACCAUUGAUCAAGUGAUUCUCCCUUCUCAGCCUCCCAAGUAGCUGGGACUACAGCCACGUGCCACCAUGCCCAGCUAAUUUUUGUAUUUUUAGUAGAGAUGGGGUUUCAUGAUGUUGGCCAGGAUGGUCUCGAUCUCUUGACCUCUUCAUCCGCCCACCUCGGCCUCCCAAAGUGCUGGGAUUACAGACAUGAGCCACCGCACCCAGCCACACCUGGCUAACUUAAAAAAAUUUUUUGGAGAUGAGGUCUCACUGUGUUGCCUAGGCUGGUUUGAACUCCUGGCCUCAAGCGAUCCUCCUGCCUCAGCCUCCCAGAAUGCUGAGAUUUCCAGCA